CCUACGGGAGGCAGCAGUGAGGAAUAUUGGUCAAUGGACGAGAGUCUGAACCAGCCAAGUAGCGUGAAGGAUGACUGCCCUAUGGGUUGUAAACUUCUUUUAUAAAGGAAUAAAACGAGGCACGUGUGCCUUUUUGCAUGUACUUUAUGAAUAAGGAUCGGCUAACUCCGUGCCAGCAGCCGCGGUAAUACGGAGGAUCCGAGCGUUAUCCGGAUUUAUUGGGUUUAAAGGGAGCGUAGAUGGGUUGUUAAGUCAGUUGUGAAAGUUUGCGGGUCAACCGUAAAAUUGCAAUUGAUACUGGAAGUCUUGAGUACAGUUGAGGUAGGCGGAAUUCGUGGUGUAGCGGUGAAAUGCUUAGAUAUCACGAAGAACCCCGAUUGCGAAGGCAGCUUACUAAACUGUGACUGACAUUGAUGCUCGAAAGUGUGGGUAUCAAACAGGAUUAGAUACCCGUGUAGUC
rnacentral:rRNA from 1 species